GACGAACCGAGCGAACGUUGUUCGGAAUCACUGGGCUUAAAGGGCGCGUAGGCGGGCUAUCAAGUCCGGGGUGAAAUCCUCCAGCUUAACUGGAGAACGGCCUCGGAUACUGAUGGUCUCGAGGGAGAUAGGGGCACGCGGAACUGUGGGUGGAGCGGUGAAAUGCGUUGAUAUCCAUAGGAACUCCGGUGGCGAAGGCGGCGUGCUGGAUCUCAUCUGACGCUGAGGCGCGAAAGCCAGGGGAGCAAACGGG
rnacentral:rRNA from 1 species